GGAAAGAAAACACUCACCCAAGUCAACCCAAAGAGGAACACACCAAGGCACGGGAGCAGAGGACAGGAGAAAACACAGAGUUACCACCGAAGCCAACAGCAAGGAGAGCCCAUCCGGGGACAGAUGGCUUCUCUCUUGGCCCCGGUGAGCCCAGGUUAUCACCCUGGACAUGAGAGCUGGAAGAGGUGCGACCAGCUCCCGAGGAGUGGAUUCCACAGAGGGCGCGCUUCCUACCUUCCGCCGGGCAGCAGCGUAGGUACACAAAACGUUAUCAAGUAUCACCCUCCUGCCUACAAAACUGACUAUAAUACAUGAUUCCUUCAAAAAUACAAAGAAAGCACUGCUUAUGAACAAAAAAACUUUUUCACUUCUGGACCUGAACAAUUCUCCAGUGAAGACAUACAAAUGAUCAACAGGUACAUGAAAAAAUGCUCAAU